rnacentral:rRNA from 1 species
CCGAACUGACUGUCGGACCUGACCUGCGGAGGAUCAUUACCUAGAGUUGUAGGCUUUGCCUGCUAUCUCUUACCCAUGUCUUUUAAGUACCUUCGUUUCCUCGGCGGGUUCGCCCGCCGAUUGGACAAUUUAAACCAUUUGCAGUUGCAAUCAGCGUCUGAAAAAACUUAAUAGUUACAACUUUCAACAACGGAUCUCUUGGUUCUGGCAUCGAUGAAGAACGCAGCGAAAUGCGAUAAGUAGUGUGAAUUGCAGAAUUCAGUGAAUCAUCGAAUCUUUGAACGCACAUUGCGCCCCUUGGUAUUCCAUGGGGCAUGCCUGUUCGAGCGUCAUUUGUACCUUCAAGCUCUGCUUGGUGUUGGGUGUUUGUCUCGCCUCUGCGUGUAGACUCGCCUCAAAACAAUUGGCAGCCGGCGUAUUGAUUUCGGAGCGCAGUACAUCUCGCGCUUUGCACUCAUAACGACGACGUCCAAAAGUACAUUUUUACACUCUUGACCUCGGAUCAGGUAGGGAUACCCGCUGAACUUAA